rnacentral:miRNA from 1 species
ACGUGAUGUGCCACGUAGGCA